rnacentral:rRNA from 1 species
UACAGGGGGGGCAAGCGUUUGUUCGGAAUUACUGGGCGAAAGGGCUCGUAGGCGGCCAACUAAGUCAGACGUGAAAUCCCUCGGCUUAACCGGGGAACUGCGUCUGAUACUGGAUGGCUUGAGUUUGGGAGAGGGAUGCGGAAUUCCAGGUGUAGCGGUGAAUGCGUAGAUAUCUGGAGGAACACCGGUGGCGAAGGCGGCAUCCUGGACCAACACUGACGCUGAGUGAGCGAAAGCCAGGGAGCAAACGGG